rnacentral:rRNA from 1 species
GCAUGGUAGAACUAUUAAAGAAUUUCGGUCAUCGAUGGGGAUGCGUUCCAUUAGGUUGUUGGCGGGGUAACGGCCCACCAAGCCUUCGAUGGAUAGGGGUUCUGAGAGGAAGGUCCCCCACAUUGGAACUGAGACACGGUCCAAACUCCUACGGGAGGCAGCAGUGAGGAAUAUUGGUCAAUGGACGAGAGUCUGAACCAGCCAAGUAGCGUGAAGGAUGACUGCCCUAUGGGUUGUAAACUUCUUUUAUACGGGAAUAAAGUGAGGCACGUGUGCCUUUUUGUAUGUACCGUAUGAAUAAGGAUCGGCUAACUCCGUGCCAGCAGCCGCGGUAAUACGGAGGAUCCGAGCGUUAUCCGGAUUUAUUGGGUUUAAAGGGAGCGUAGGCGGACGCUUAAGUCAGUUGUGAAAGUUUGCGGCUCAACCGUAAAAUUGCAGUUGAUACUGGGUGUCUUGAGUACAGUAGAGGCAGGCGGAAUUCGUGGUGUAGCGGUGAAAUGCUUAGAUAUCACGAAGAACUCCGAUUGCGAAGGCAGCUUGCUGGACUGUAACUGACGCUGAUGCUCGAAAGUGUGGGUAUCAAACAGGAUUAGAUACCCUGGUAGUCCACACAGUAAACGAUGAAUACUCGCUGUUUGCGAUAUACAGUAAGCG